rnacentral:rRNA from 1 species
CUUAUGCGUUGUUGGGUAGGGGAGCGUUCUGUAAGCCUGCGAAGGUGGCCUGUGAGGGUUGCUGGAGGUAUCAGAAGUGCGAAUGCUGACAUAAGUAACGAUAAAGCGGGUGAAAAGCCCGCUCGCCGGAAGACCAAGGGUUCCUGUCCAACGUUAAUCGGGGCAGGGUGAGUCGACCCCUAAGGCGAGGCCGAAAGGCGUAGUCGAUGGGAAACGGGUUAAUAUUCCCGUACUUGGUGUUACUGCGAAGGGGGGACGGAGAAGGCUAUGUUGGCCGGGCGACGGUUGUCCCGGUUUAAGCGUGUAGGCUGGUUUUCCAGGCAAAUCCGGAAAAUCAAGGCUGAGGCGUGAUGACGAGGCACUACGGUGCUGAAGCAACAAAUGCCCUGCUUCCAGGAAAAGCCUCUAAGCAUCAGGUAACAUCAAAUCGUACCCCAAACCGACACAGGUGGUCAGGUAGAGAAUACCAAGGCGCUUGAGAGAACUCGGGUGAAGGAACUAGGCAAAAUGGUGCCGUAACUUCGGGAGAAGGCACGCUGACACGUAGGUGAAGUGAUUUACUCAUGGAGCUGAAGUCAGUCGAAGAUACCAGCUGGCUGCAACUGUUUAUUAAAAACACAGCACUGUGCAAACACGAAAGUGGACGUAUACGGUGUGACGCCUGCCCGGUGCCGGAAGGUUAAUUGAUGGGGUCAGCGCAAGCGAAGCUCCUGAUCGAAGCCCCGGUAAACGGCGGCCGUAACUAUAACGGUCCUAAGGUAGCGAAAUUCCUUGUCGGGUAAGUUCCGACCUGCACGAAUGGCGUAAUGAUGGCCAGGCUGUCUCCACCCGAGACUCAGUGAAAUUGAACUCGCUGUGAAGAUGCAGUGUACCCGCGGCAAGACGGAAAGACCCCGUGAACCUUUACUAUAGCUUGACACUGAACAUUGAGCCUUGAUGUGUAGGAUAGGUGGGAGGCUUUGAAGUGUGGACGCCAGUCUGCAUGGAGCCGACCUUGAAAUACCACCCUUUAAUGUUUGAUGUUCUAACGUGGACCCGUUACCCGGGUUGCGGACAGUGUCUGGUGGGUAGUUUGACUGGGGCGGUCUCCUCCUAAAGAGUAACGGAGGAGCACGAAGGUUGGCUAAUCCUGGUCGGACAUCAGGAGGUUAGUGCAAUGGCAUAAGCCAGCUUGACUGCGAGCGUGACGGCGCGAGCAGGUGCGAAAGCAGGUCAUAGUGAUCCGGUGGUUCUGAAUGGAAGGGCCAUCGCUCAACGGAUAAAAGGUACUCCGGGGAUAACAGGCUGAUACCGCCCAAGAGUUCAUAUCGACGGCGGUGUUUGGCACCUCGAUGUCGGCUCAUCACAUCCUGGGGCUGAAGUAGGUCCCAAGGGUAUGGCUGUUCGCCAUUUAAAGUGGUACGCGAGCUGGGUUUAGAACGUCGUGAGACAGUUCGGUCCCUAUCUGCCGUGGGCGCUGGAGAACUGAGGGGGGCUGCUCCUAGUACGAGAGGACCGGAGUGGACGCAUCACUGGUGUUCGGGUUGUCAUGCCAAUGGCACUGCCCGGUAGCUAAAUGCGGAAGAGAUAAGUGCUGAAAGCAUCUAAGCACGAAACUUGCCCCGAGAUGAGUUCUCCCUGAGACUUAAAGUCUCCUGAAGGAACGUUGAAGACGACGACGUUG